rnacentral:misc_RNA from 1 species
UCUCCGUAGGUGAACCUGCGGAGGGAUCAUUACAGAGUUCAUGCCCUACCGGGUAGAUCUCCCACCCUAUGUUAUUAUUACUUUGUUGCUUUGGCGGGCCGUUAGCUCCGGCCCGACUACCGGCCCCGGCUGGUAAGCGCCCGCCAGAGGACCCAAAACCCUGAAUAUUAGUGUCGUCUGAGUACUAUAUAAUAGUUAAAACUUUCAACAACGGAUCUCUUGGUUCUG